rnacentral:rRNA from 1 species
GCAGGCGCGUAAAUUACCCACUCCCAGUUCGGGGAGGUAGUGACGAAAAAUAACAAUACAGGACUCAUAUCCGAGGCCCUGUAAUUGGAAUGAGUACACUUUAAAUCCUUUAACAAGGACCUAUUGGAGGGCAAGUCUGGUGCCAGCAGCCGCGGUAAUUCCAGCUCCAAUAGCGUAUAUUAAAGUUGUUGCGGUUAAAACGUUCGUAGUUGAAUUUGUGCUUCAUGCAGGUAGUACAACUAUAAUCGUAGUUUGUACAUUACCUUAUGCAUGCAAGCGUAUUAUCGGUGGAGUUCUAAUAUAUAAUAGUAAAUAUUAUUAUUAUAUAUACCUCCUAGUUGAAACCUACUUCAGUGCUCUUAUCGAG